UACGUAGGGUGCAAGCGUUAAUCGGAAUUACUGGGCGUAAAGCGUGCGCAGGCGGUUCCGCAAGUCAGAUGUGAAAUCCCCGGGCUCAACCUGGGAACUGCAUUUGAAACUACGGGGCUAGAGUGUGUCAGAGGGGGGUAGAAUUCCACGUGUAGCAGUGAAAUGCGUAGAGAUGUGGAGGAAUACCGAUGGCGAAGGCAGCCCCCUGGGACAAUACUGACGCUCAUGCACGAAAGCGUGGGGAGCAAACAGG
rnacentral:rRNA from 1 species